ensembl:lncRNA
AGGGCAUUAUAUUGGGGCUGCAAGGCAGACCUCAGGAGUCGUUGUAGGAAGAUAUAAGGGUGAUGAUUUUGGCAGAGGAUGCCCACGGGUGCAGUUGUGCUGGUGGCUGGGGAAGGUGUCUCCCCUGCUGACGGCUGGGCACUCAUUCAGGAUCUCCUUGCAGAUGUCAACGUGGAUGAAAUGAGGAGAGUGAAGGCCUCUGGAAUACACAGCUCUGAAGUUUGUACAUAGGACAGAAUGUCAGAAAGUGAGAGGCGAUCCACCCCUUUCUCUGCAAGAACAAGGGGGAAAGCACAGCAGAGGUGACACUUAUCAAUAAAAGCAUGAAAUCCUUCUGCAUCAGAAUGAAGUUUGUGUACUUCUUCUGUCUGAAUGCACUCGGAGGGUGCCCAUCUGUCCAUAGGGGCAGUGACAGAAUCCUUGUGCUUGGGGCUCAUGGGAG